AUGGAAUGCAACUUUAAGGCUAUUUUCUGGAACGUUCGUGAUCUUAACUACGGAGCCAAACGAACGGCUGUUCGCAGCGUGAUCACCGUUGCUGCUCCUUCCAUCGUAUGUUUACAAGAGACUAAACUAUCACUCGUCACUGAUUCCAUCGUGCUUGACACGCUCGGCCCACUCUUCGAGGACUACCUCUUCCUCCCCGCAACGGGCACCCAUGGGGGCAUCUUGUUUGCCUGGCGGCGUUCGGACCUCUCCCUCUCGAACCCACUUGUUGGCAUGCACCAUGUCACGGUCCUUGUUACACCAUCGGCUGGUGAUGGACAUUGGUGGAUCACCGGGGUUUACGGGCCACAAGAUGACGAGGCCAAGCUUGAGUUCCUGGCUGAGCUACAUGAUGUGCGCGAAUCCCGCAUAGGCCCGUGGCUCCUUGGCGGCGACUCAACAUGA
rnacentral:rRNA from 1 species